AUACGGGGGGAGCAAGCGUUGUUCGGAAUUACUGGGCGUAAAGGGCGCGUAGGCGGCUGGGUCAGUCGCGUGUGAAAGGCCGGGGCUCAACCCCGAGCAUUGCACGCGAUACUGCCUGGCUCGAGAGAGGUAGGGGCGAGUGGAAUUCCCGGUGUAGCGGUGGAAUGCGUAGAUAUCGGGAAGAACACCUGUGGCGAAGGCGGCUCGCUGGACCUUUUCUGACGCUGAAGCGCGAAAGCGUGGGGAGCAAACAGGAUUAGAAACCCCAGUAGUCC
rnacentral:rRNA from 1 species